UCUAAAUCUUUAUUUACAAAUUUAUUUAAAACAAUAUUACAUUAGUAAAAGAAUCGAAUUUAUUCAAGGUCUAAGUACUGAAAAGGAAAGUCUACUAAUUACAAAGAAGUUAUUGUUUGUACCUUUUGUAUCAGGGUUUAUUAAAUUUCAAUCUUUAUUGCUGAAUCCCGAAACAAGGUGAUCUAUAUUGGUUAAAGAUGAUUGUUUCAUAAAUCUCUUCAAGACCAAUAUCGUUGUGAAAAAUAUUUCGUACCUUUAUAUCUGGUUGGCAGAAUACUCCUUUAGGGUACUCCGCAAGGAAGAUUUUCUAGGGGACGAGCUCUAGAAAAAAUUAUAUUAUAAUAUCAAGAAAAACAUGAUUAGGCUUAAAAGUUGCCUUGGUUUAAUAACCAUUGUUACUAAAAUGAUAAUUUCAAAAUAAUUAAUUAAGACUAGCCGAUGCUAAUUACAUAAAUUUAGCAAUCACAAUGAUAGAAUUAGUAGAACUAUAAAUACACUUAACACAAUGUUCCUCACAAAAUCCCAAAGGAAUUCGGCAAAACUCAUCUCCGCCUGUUAAC
rnacentral:rRNA from 1 species